rfam:Aedes albopictus isolate Foshan contig116864, whole genome shotgun sequence.
CCAACGGUCCUUUUCAGGACCACAGUCUUUCCAAAAGAGUUAAGA